rnacentral:rRNA from 1 species
GAUGAACGCUGGCGGCGUGCUUAACACAUGCAAGUCGAACGGUGAAACAGGAGCUUGCUCUUGUGGAUCAGUGGCGAACGGGUGAGUAACACGUGAGCAACAUGCCCCUGACUCUGGGAUAAGCGCUGGAAACGGCGUCUAAUACUGGAUAUGUGAUGUGACCGCAUGGUCUGCAUCUGGAAAGAAUUUCGGUGGGGGAUGGGCUCGCGGCCUAUCAGCUUGUUGGUGGGGUAAUGGCUCACCAAGGCGUCGACGGGUAGCCGGCCUGGGAGGGUGACCGGCCACACUUGGACUGAGACACGGCCCAGACUCCUACGGGAGGCAGCAGUGGGGGAUAUUGCACAAUGGGCGGAAGCCUGAUGCAGCAACGCCGCGUGAGGGAUGACGGCCUUCGGGUUGUAAACCUCUUUUAGCAGGGAAGAAGCGAAAGUGACGGUACCUGCAGAAAAAGCACCGGCUAACUACGUGCCAGCAGCAGCCGCGG